rnacentral:rRNA from 1 species
GGACGGGUGAGUAAUGUCUGGGAAACUGCCCGAUGGAGGGGGAUAACUACUGGAAACGGUAGCUAAUACCGCAUAACGUCGCAAGACCAAAGUGGGGGACCUCCGGGCCUCACACCAUCGGAUGUGCCCAGAUGGGAUUAGCUGGUAGGCGGGGUAACGGCCCACCUAGGCGACGAUCCCUAGCUGGUCUGAGAGGAUGACCAGCCACACUGGAACUGAGACACGGUCCAGACUCCUACGGGAGGCAGCAGUGGGGAAUAUUGCACAAUGGGCGCAAGCCUGAUGCAGCCAUGCCGCGUGUAUGAAGAAGGCCUUCGGGUUGUAAAGUACUUUCAGCGGGGAGGAAGGUGCUGAGGUUAAUAACCUCAGCAAUUGACGUUACCCGCAGAAGAAGCACCGGCUAACUCCGUGCCAGCAGCCGCGGUAAUACGGAGGGUGCAAGCGUUAAUCGGAAUUACUGGGCGUAAAGCGCACGCAGGCGGUCUGUUAAGUCAGAUGUGAAAUCCCCGGGCUUAACCUGGGAACUGCAUUUGAAACUGGCAGGCUUGAGUCUCGUAGAGGGGGGUAGAAUUCCAGGUGUAGCGGUGAAAUGCGUAGAGAUCUGGAGGAAUACCGGUGGCGAAGGCGGCCCCCUGGACGAAGACUGACGCUCAGGUGCGAAAGCGUG